rnacentral:rRNA from 1 species
AUUGAACGCUGGCGGCAGGCCUAACACAUGCAAGUCGAACGAGUGGCGGACGGGUGAGUAAUGUCUGGGAAACUGCCUGGUGGAGGGGGAUAACUACUGGAAACGGUAGCUAAUACCGCAUACCCUCAGAUGUGCCCAGAUGGGAUUAGCUAGUUGGUGGGGUAACGGCUCACCACGGCGCCGAUCACUAGCUGGUCUGAGAGGAGGACCAGCCACACUGGAACGGAGACGCGGUCCCGACUCCUACGGGAGUCAGCAGUGGGGAAUAUUGCACAAUGGGCGCAAGCCUGGUGCAGCCAUGCCGCGUGUAUGAAGAAGGCCUUCGGGUUGUAAAGUACUUGCAGCGGGGAGGCGUUACCCGCAGAAGAAGCACCGGCUAACUCCGUGCCAGCAGCCGCGGUAAUUC